rnacentral:rRNA from 1 species
UGGGGAAUAUUGCACAAUGGACGAAAGUCUGAUGCAGCAACGCCGCGUGGGGGAUGAAGCUUUUCGGAGUGUAAACCCCUUUCGACCCGGAAGAAAGCCCGCAAGGGUUUGACGGUACGGGUAUAAGAAGCCCCGGCUAACUACGUGCCAGCAGCCGCGGUAAAACGUAGGGGGCCAGCGUUGCUCGGAAUUACUGGGCGUAAAGGGUCCGUAGGCGGUGAGGCAAGUUGGUAGUGAAAUCUCUGGGCUUAACCCAGAGGCUGCUGCCAAAACUGCCGUGCUAGAGUGUGAGAGAGGCGAGUGGAAUUACGGGUGUAGCGGUGAAAUGCGUAGAUAUCCGUAGGAACAUCCGAGGCGAAGGCGGCUCGCUGGAUCACAACUGACGCUGAGGGACGAAAGCUAGGGGAGCAAACAGGAUUAGAUACCCUGGUAGUCCUAGCCCUAAACCAUCAGGACUUGGGGUGUGCCCUGCACGGGGCACGUCCCGUAGCUAACGCGUUAAG